rnacentral:rRNA from 1 species
CCCUUAGAUGUUCUGGGCCGCACGCGUGCUACACUGAACGGUUCAAUGGGUAAGGUAGUGCGAAAGCAUGACCUAAUCUCGAAAUCCGUUCGUGUUGGGGAUAGAAGCUUGCAAUUAUCCUUCUUGAACGAGGAAUACCUUGUAAGCGUGAGUCAUCAUCUCACGCUGAAUACGUCCCUGCCCUUUGUACACACCGCCCGUCGCUCCUACCGAUUGAGUGUUCCGGUGAGGCUUUGGGAGAAUGGCCUCAACAUGAGUUUAUCGUGUUUUGCCGUUUGAACUUAGUCAAACCUUAUCACUUAGAGGAAGGAGAAGUCGUAACA